ACGAACGCUGGCGGCGUGGAUAAGACAUGCAAGUCGAACGGGAACUUUUCUGAUAGCAAUACCGGGAAAGUUUUAGUGGCGAACGGGUGCGUAACACGUGGGCAAUCUGCCGGGAAGUGGGGGAUAGCUCGCCGAAAGGCGAAUUAAUACCGCAUGUGAUUAGUGGAGACAUCUUCACGACAUCAAAGGUGGCGCAAGCUACCGUUUUCUGAUGAGCCCGCGGCCUAUCAGCUAGUUGGUGGGGUAACGGCCUACCAAGGCGAUGACGGGUAGCUGGUCUGAGAGGACGACCAGCCACACUGGAACUGAGACACGGUCCAGACACCUACGGGUGGCAGCAGUCGAGAAUUUUUCACAAUGGGCGGCAAGCCUGAAUGGAGCGACGCCGCGUGGAGGAUGAAGGUUUCGGAUCCGUAAACUCCUGUCAUUUGCGAACAAUGGUUACGCGAUACACUGCGGUUAGCGUGAUAGUAGUGAAAGAGGAAGAGGACGGCUAACUCUGUGCCAGCAGCCGCGGUAAUACAGAGGUCUCAAGCGUUGUUCGGAUUCACUGGGCGUAAAGGGUGCGUAGGUGGCGCAGUAAGUUCAGGUGUGAAAUCUCGGAGCUUAACUCCGAAAAUGCAUUGAUACUAGCGUGCUUGAGGGAUCGGAGGGGAGACUGGAAUUCUACGGUGUAGCAGUGAAAUGCGUAGAGAUCGUAGAGGAACGACCAGUGGCGAAGGCGAGUCUCUGGACAGUCACCUGACACUGAGGCACGAAGGCUAGGGGAGCAAACAGGAUUAGAUACCCCGGUAGUCCUAGGCAUGUAAACGGUGCACGUUUGGCUGUAGGAGGAUUCGACCCCUUUGUGGCGGAGCUAACGCGCUAAACGUGCCGCCUGGGGAGUACGGUCGCAAGAUUAAAACUCAAAGAAAUUGACGGGGGCCUGCACAAGCGGUGGAGUAUGUGGCUUAAUUCGAUGCAACGCGAAGAACCUUACCUGGCCUUGACAUGCACGUAGUAGGAGCCUGAAGGGUAACGACCCCGCAAGGGGAGCGUGCACAGGUGCUGCAUGGCUGUCGUCAGCUCGUGUCGUGAGAUGUUGGGUUAAGUCCCGCAACGAGCGCAACCCUUGUGUCCUGUUGCCACUCAAUCGAGAGAUUGGAGCACUCUGGACAGACUGCCUCGCCUAAACGAGGAGGAAGGUGGGGAUGACGUCAAGUCAGGAUGGCCCUUACGGCCAGGGCUGCACACGUACUACAAUGCCCGGCACAGAGGGAAGCAAGACCGGAAGGUGGAGCAAAUCCCAAAAAACCGGGCUCAGUUCAGAUUGUCGGCUGCAACUCGCCGACAUGAAGCUGGAAUCGCUAGUAAUGGCGCAUCAGCUACGGCGCCGUGAAUACGUUCCCAGGCCUUGUACACACCGCCCGUCACAUCAUGAAAGCCGGUUGUACCCGAAGUCACCGCGUUAACCGCAAGGAGACAGGUGCCGAAGGUAUGGCUGGUGAUUGGGAUG
rnacentral:rRNA from 1 species